CAGACCCUCUCUCCAACUCCAGAGCACUUUGCAUGAGGCAGGAAUCCUGGGUGCUCGGUUGACCCGGGUCGAGUGUCUUUCCUUCUGUGGGAACCUGGAGGCACUGAGCUGAGACUGAAGGUCUCCAGAGAAGAUGUGUAUUUGCUUCUUCCAGGCACCUAACUGCUGCUAAUCUGCAACCACUUCAACUAAUUCCACACCACCAGGUAGUAUGUAUUUAAAACCCACACCCAUUUGAAGGUAAAUCUAUACUUAUGAAUUUUGAGGGAGAUUUCAUUCCCAUCUGUGGUGAGGUCAUUACAAAACCUUUCAUUUCUUUCCUGCAAAGCAGGGUUUUUUUCUAGUCUUUCUAGCUUUGCACUGAAAUUAUGGGUCUUUAGAAGUCCUGACUUUGUGUGAGAAUCUAAAUUGCUUACCCUGUUGCUUUUCAUUUCCACUUCAUUUUUUGUCUCUGGGGAUAUCUCUUGCUUUCUUUCAAGGUCAGCUGUACAUUUAAAAGAAUGCUUAUUAUAUUUUUGUCAGCAUUUCCAAGUGCUUUGCAAUAGAGGAGUUUUAGAUUAUAUUUUUGGAAUUGUUUUUCUUAUUCAGGCACACAGACAGAACAUAUAAUGAUGUUUUUUGCUGGACAGAUAUUAAAUGAAUGCAUAAAUGAACAGAAGAAUAUUCUGCAUUUUAAAAUGUUUAACACACACACACACACACAUACACACACACACACAACCCCUAAAGUGUGAGGCACUAGGAAUAGAGCAGUGAUCAGAUGGGUCCCACCUGGUCAACCGUGUUUUCAUUCCCUGAGGACUUUGGCGCCCUGCUCAUGGGUUGCCUGCUCACUCAAGUUCUGACAUCACCCAUCUCCACCCCCCACACCAUGGCCUCCCAGUUCCGUGACCUCUCUCUCAUCUCACUGACUGUAAAAGCUAGGGUUUGGGUGUGGAUUACAGACGCAUGUGUGGCUAGUUUGAGCAGAAAGGGAUUUAAAUCACGGAAUUCAUGCCUACAGUCAUUGAAAGGACUGAAAGAGAAACAUCUAGUCUGAGCUUCUAGAAAUACACUCAUCCCCAACACUACCAUAGAACAGGUCCCCUAGGGAGUUACUCUUGUUGCCAGAGUCAGCAAACUGAGAUGUCAGAAAGCUGAUGCCCCCACUGCUGGCUCCAGCAGACCACACCUCCCAGCCCAGCUCUGUACUUCCCAGCCCCUUUUGCGUCUAGAUUGGGCCGCAUCGCGGAGUUUUGGGAUUGACUUGGGCAGAAAUGACAUGGGCCACUCCCAGGCCUGACCCACAGUGCCUCUUGCUUACUGCUGCAUGCGUGCUCUUCUCCCUUCCAGGAUGGCCUUAAAUCCACAUGCCAAAAAUGGCAGCAAUUCCUUCAGCCUGGGUUUCUAAUUGACUGUGUGGAGCAGGGAGCCUCUCCCCCAUCCCUGCCCAUGUUGCAAAUGGGACUCUCUGUGAGCAAGAAACAAACAUCUAUUGUACCAAGUCACUGACAUUUGGGGGUUAGCUGUCAAAGUGGCUGGUGUUUUCUCAACGCCGGGAGGGGAGGGGAGCUUGGAGCCUCCACUGGGCUUCCCAGCUGAAGAGACCUUGCUGGGGUCAGCAGGAAGUGUCAGCCAUCUGCUCGGUGUAUCUAUCCAAAUGAUACGUGAACCGGGAAAUUAACGGUAGUCACAUACCCUAUGUGUCUGUUGUGGCCCAAAACGCAUGUCUCAUCUGACUUCCAAAGUCCCCCUCUGAUCAGUGGACUGGUGGUGGUGGUGGGAGUGGUUGAUCAGAGAGUCUAGGAAGUGACACCAGCUAAGAGCCAGGAACCAACAACCCUUGAGAGCCUGAGGGUCCCCCCACCCCACGCCCGCUGCCGCCCUCCCACCCCCACCCUGUAAGGCACAGCCAUCCUGGGCAGUCGGCAUCUCCCUGCGGGGGAGGCCAGGGGAAGACAGUCCAGCCUUGCAUGUUUCCGCCAGGUCUUUCCCUCUGGCAGGGGUUCUGGUCUGUGAAUGACUCAUGUUCAGGAAUUGGAGGAGGAGCUGACUCUCCUGCAUUAUGAGUCAAGUCUGGGCCAGGAUCCUGAGACGAGGGUCUUUCCACCACCACGCCCACCUGCACUGACACUGCCCUGUUUUUGUCCUAAGGGUGACUCCAUGACCAAUGAGCCAAAGAUCUCUAGACCACACCGUUCUUCUUGACCAUCGUGGUGACCACGCCAGCCUGGCCACAUGGCCUCUGCCACCCAGUACCUCUUCACUCCAUUUCAUUCUGCCCUACAGAGGCCAGCCUCCCCAGAGCCUUUCAAAGCUGUUGCUGCCCCCCCCCACUACUCCAAAGUACACCUCUGAUGUCUUGUGAGGGGGUGUCCUCAGGCCCUCUCGGAGGAUAAUGAGGGGACAACUAAACAAAGCACAGAUGGUCGGCACCACCCAGCCCCUCGGAUCCGGAACCUGUGCUCACGGUCAGGUCUUCUGGAUAGAGGACCAUCUUCCUCGAGCCCUGUGCCUGCGCGAUGCCAGCUGCCUCCCAGCCUGUCGCGCCCAGGUCCUGGCUGCCUGAGUCCACAGUCUGCUGCCUGCAGCCAUUUCGGGAACCAAACAUUGGAUCUGCUGGAGAAGAUGCGCUUUCCAAGCUCUAGUUCCUUAAAAGCACCAGAAAGGAAACACUGUCCCACACCUGGGCUGGGCAGAAUUUCCUUCUGGGAUGAAAUUAGCAUUCCUGAUAAAAUGCUCAUGUGAUGAGUUGAUGAGCUUUAAUGACGUAUGAAUGGCUUCGGGGACCAGUCAGCUGCCCACCUGGGUAUCAUUCAUGGGGCGUGAUCUGUCCACAGAGGUCGUUUCUGUAUCUAGUCUGAGACUGAAACUCCCUCCUGCCCUGGGUGGUCUCUCAGGAUCCUCCCCCCAUCUCAUCAACUGAGAUGCCCCCUGUGGGAGACCCUCCCUGCCUGGAAGUUCUGGAUGGCCCCUGCCCAGCACCACACAUCACCCACAUACUGACAAUAACAGUGGUAGUAACACACACUUGCCACCUGCUGGCUGGGCUAAGUCUCACCUAUGUCAAUUAGUUGAUGCCUCCCACCAACCGGGAUGAGUGCAUACGAUUAUAACCCUCCACUUACAGGAGCCCAGCUCACACCUGGGCAGAGGGGUGGGGGAGGGAGGCAGGAAAGUCCCCACUGAGAAAGUGACAUCCCAAUGGACCUGAAGGUGGUUACGAGUCAUGCAAUGGGGUCAAGAAUUCCAGACGGCACAGUGAGGCCAGUGCUGAGGCUGGAGGAUGCAACUGACCUGUAGUCGGGGUGCAGGGCUGAAGGACGGCUCCACACGUGCCACCUCACACCACCACACCACUCCUGGGCAUCGCCCUCCCAUCCGCCCGGAGCUGCAUCCCUAUUCCCAUGGGCACCAUCGGCAAACUAUUCAGAGCCAUCACAUUGCAUGCAUGGCCUGCUGCGAUGAGAAGUUGCAGUGGGGAAUGCUGGGCUCGACUCUUUUUUUUUUUAAACAGAAUUUUUUUUUUUAAGAUUUUUUUUUUUAUUGGGGA